rnacentral:rRNA from 1 species
GAUGAACGCCGGCGGCGUGCUUAACACAUGCAAGUCGAACGGUGAAGCAGGAGCUUGCUCUUGUGGAUCAGUGGCGAACGGGUGAGUAACACGUGAGCAACCUGCCCCUGACUCUGGGAUAAGCGCUGGAAACGGCGUCUAAUACUGGAUAUGUGAUGUGACCGCAUGGUCUGCAUCUGGAAAGAAUUUCGGUUGGGGAUGGGCUCGCGGCCUAUCAGCUUGUUGGUGAGGUAAUGGCUCACCAAGGCGUCGACGGGUAGCCGGCCUGAGAGGGUAACCGGCCACACUGGGACUGAGACACGGCCCAGACUCCUACGGGAGGCAGCAGUGGGGAAUAUUGCACAAUGGGCGGAAGCCUGAUGCAGCAACGCCGCGUGAGGGAUGACGGCCUUCGGGUUGUAAACCUCUUUUGGCAGGGAAGAAGCGAAAGUGACGGUACCUGCAGAAAAAGCACCGGCUAACUACGUGCCAGCAGCCGCCGUAA